UGCCAUUUAAGCUAGUCCUUUAAAGUUUGAUAGAGUUAAAUAUGUGAAGAUUUUGGAGAAGCCUGCCCAGGUUGUAGACAGAGUACAAAGUAUGUACUGGAGUAAAGAGAUUGGUAAAGAUGGUAAUUACUGCGAGUCUGUGGAGACCACUGAGUAGAUGAGUGUGACAGGGUCUGGGAAACAGUGUAGGGAAGUCAGGGGAGCCUGGCUCUGAUCUUUAAAGGCAGAUUGGACUGAGUUAAUUACG
rnacentral:lncRNA from 1 species